GCAAUUACUGCAAGUUCAAAUCUCACCAGGCUCAAGGUUGACUCAGCCUUCCAUCCUUUCGAGGUAGGUAAAAUGAGGACCUGGAUUGUGGGGGCACUAAGCUGACUUUGUAUAUAUUUUAAAAAAAGAACACCGCUUGGGGGGGGGCGCAUAUAAAUCGAACCAAUAAAUAAAUAAAUAAUAAACAAACAAACAAACUUGAAAUGUGACAUCUGCAUUUAAGAACUGUGCCUGUUAUAAGGGUAUGUUAAAAGACUGGUCCCUCAAUGUUUUAUAGAAAACAUUUGUAAAAACCAAGCAAGGAUGUAAAUACAAUAAAUAUACCGUGAAAACUU